rnacentral:rRNA from 1 species
GAUCAACGCUGGCGGCGUGCAUAACACAUGCAAGUCGAACGAUGAAGCUUAACUGAUUUCUUCGGAAUGAUUUUAAGUGGAUUAGUGGCGGACGGGUGAGUAACGCGUGAGUAACCUGCCUUGCACAAGGGGAUAGCCGUUGGAAACGACGAAUAAUACCCUAUGAUAUAAACUCUUCGCAUGAAGGGCUUAUCAAAGAUUUAUCGGUGUAAGAUGGACUCGCGUCUGAUUAGCUAGUUGGUGGGGUAACAGCCUACCAAGGCAACGAUCAGUAGCCGGCUUGAGAGAGUGUACGGCCACAUUGGGACUGAGACACGGCCCAGACUCCUACGGGAGGCAGCAGUGGGGAAUUUUGCACAAUGGGGGAAACCCUGAUGCAGCGACGCCGCGUGAUUUAGAAGGCCUUCGGGUUGUAAAAAUCUUUUGUAUGGGAAGAAAAUGACAGUACCAUACGAAUAAGGACCGGCUAAUUACGUG